UUUAACUCUGGUCCAACAAAUGAUAACAAACUACCAAGUAUCUGCAUUGAUUAGAAUCUAGUUGAUUACAAAAUUCGAUAGAGUAUACUCUAUGAAAAUUUUUUUUGAUAAAUUUUAUCUUUAAUUUGUUUCUUUUUUUAUAAUUUAGUAAUUACAAUAGAAGUUGUUGAAAUGAAAGAAGUGAGUUCCGCAUGAUUCCCGAGGAGUUGCAAGGAGAUGCGCAUAAUCUAUGCACUCCUGACAUACCCCUAGGAAAAUUACACUAACAAACCUACGGCAGAGUUUGAAGUAGCAUCUGUAGAAAGUGUGUUGAAAAAUAAUCAAGAGAGACAAGAAAGCAUUGAACACAGUGUAAUUCCUGAGGAGUGUGAGGAAUUGUAUGAAGACGUGCGAAAUAUUUGCACUCCUGGCAUUAUAACUGAGGAAAAUUGCACAAAUGAUCGCAAGGCAGAACGUGAAGUAUCGGCUGUUGAAGGAGCCUUCGUGAAACGCGUACGAUUAAAACAGGUGUUGUACGAUUUUUUGAAAAUAAUAAGAAACUUGGCAGAAUCAUUUCAUAUGAUGGAAAAUGUUAUACUUUCAAAAGAGAAUAUAUAAUUAAUUUCAAUCAAUAUUAUAGAUCUCCUCAAAAAGUGAAGUUUGUCGUUUAUGAUUUAUACCCAAAUUGGGCGUACGAAAUAGAGAUAAUGGGAAACCCAUAUGUCCAACUAUGCUAUUAUUGUUUAAAGAAUAAUCAUUUUAAAAGGAAUUGUAUGCAGUUAAAGGUUGAUUAUUAUAAUUUUUAUUAUCCUUUCAUAAAAAUCUAAAAAAAAUUUAACUUCGUCAAAAUUUCUAAUGUAUACUGU